rnacentral:rRNA from 1 species
AUUGAACGCUGGCGGCAUGCCUUACACAUGCAAGUCGAACGGCAGCAUAGGAGCUUGCUCCUGAUGGCGAGUGGCGAACGGGUGAGUAAUAUAUCGGAACGUGCCCUAGAGUGGGGGAUAACUAGUCGAAAGACUAGCUAAUACCGCAUACGAUCUACGGAUGAAAGUGGGGGAUCGCAAGACCUCAUGCUCCUGGAGCGGCCGAUAUCUGAUUAGCUAGUUGGUGGGGUAAAAGCCUACCAAGGCAACGAUCAGUAGCUGGUCUGAGAGGACGAACAGCCACACUGGGACUGGGACACGGCCCAGACUCCUACGGGAGGCAGCAGUGGGGAAUUUUGGACAAUGGGGGCAACCCUGAUCCAGCAAUGCCGCGUGAGUGAAGAAGGCCUUCGGGUUGUAAAGCUCUUUUGUCAGGGAAGAAACGGUAGUAGCGAAUAACUACUACUAAUGACGGUGCCUGAAGAAUAAGCACCGGCUAACUACGUGCCAGCCGCCGCGGUAA